AUUUAAGUAGUUUAUAUUCAAAAUUUUGAUUUGUGGUGUCAGAGAAGCAUUUAAAAUGCCUUAGAUU
rnacentral:tRNA from 1 species